rnacentral:lncRNA from 1 species
CUUGCAUAGAAAAGAAUGUUUAUCCCACAGACUCUUCCUUUUUCCCAGCAAUGUUCUCAGGAUUGUAUUUGUCUCUGCCCUAAUUGACCCCACCCCUCACCCUGUAGUCUUUUCCUCAAUCCUCAAUUCUGGAGUUGCAUAGAGUAAAAUUGGGUCUGAACAGACAGGAAUGUGGAACUCUACGUUCCAGUUAGUUAGGGAGUGUGAUCCUGGGAGCUCCAAUGUAUAAACAUCCUUCCCAAGCAAAUAAACUGUCCCAUGGCCAUGCUGAGCUUUGCAACCUGACUCCCCAAAGGACUGUUUAUGUAGCCUGUGGGUAUGUGCUGUGUUCUUCUGGCCUCACACUCACCAAGGGUGUAUUGGCUUGAGGAUGGGGGCUUGGGGAUGGGGGCUGACAUUGGUUUCCACUUUGGGCUCUGUGGAGAGAGAGGAGCUGCCCUAGAGCUCUUCCCAUGGAGUCAAAAGGCUAAGAGAGAGUUGCCUAUAGCUGAGGAUCAUACCAACCAGUAGGUGCCUGAGGCAGAACUGAAACCCAGGUCCUCCUGGCUCUGAGGUCAGCUCUUUAUCUACUAUUUUAUUUCUUUCUCCUAGCAUAUUUAACCUCUGAAUCUGUUUAGGUUGGUGGAAAGAAGGCUGGGGAUAGGGAGGGUUAUAUAGGACAUAAUGGAUCUCUUCAAUCAGUGGAAGAAUUGUAAUAUGGAAGACGGUUCAGACUUAUUCUGUUUAACUUCAUUGAGCAAAACUAGAGGGAGAUUUAUUAUUGUUGUUGUUUAGUCAUUACAGUCAUAUCUAACCCAUUUGGGGUUUUCCUGGCAAGGAUAUUGGGGGUGGUUUACCAUUUCCUUCUCUAAUUCAUUUUACAGAUGAGGAAAGUGAGGUUAAGAGUUAAUUUGAACUCUGAUUAAAAGAGAAGCUUUCUAACAAUUAGAGCUAUCCAAAAACAAACAAACAAACAAAAACCCCCCCAACAAAACAAAACCUUGUGAGAUAAUGAGUUCCUUAUCAUUAAGUAUAUCUAAGCAAAAGACAAUCAGAAAGCAGAACUAAAAGCAGUGGGUUGUAAUUGAAAAGAGGCAAAUCUAUACUUCAUGUAAGUAAGGAGACUGCCUAACACAGUAAGAUGGAAUGAGCUGAGCUGCCUUAGGUGGUAGGCUAUUGAUUUACCUUAACUAAAAUAUUCAAAGACUGGAU